GCUUGUGUAGCUCAACGGUAGAGCCCUGCUUACUUCUAAAUUCUGAGGCAUUGGCUCAAGCGGAGAUCUGAGUUCGACUCUCAGUGCAAGCA